rnacentral:rRNA from 1 species
CCAGCUCCAAUAGCGUAUAUUUAAGUUGUUGCAGUUAAAAAGCUCGUAGUUGGAUUUCGGGUGAGGUGGUGCGGUCCGCCUUUGGUGAGUACUGCUUCGCUUCACCUUCCUGCCGGGGACGGGCUCCUGGGCUUAAGUGUCUGGGACUCGGAGUCGGCGAGGUUACUUUGAGUAAAUUAGAGUGUUCAAAGCAGGCCUACGCUCUGAAUACAUUAGCAUGGAAUAACACUAUAGGACUCUGGCCUUUGUGUUGGUCUGAGGGACUGGAGUAAUGAUUAAGAGGGGUGGUCGGGGGCAUUCGUAUUCCGUUGUCAGAGGUGAAAUUCUUGGAUUUACGGAAGACGAACAUCUGCGAAAGCAUUUGCCAAGGAUACUUUCA